CGGAGGGAUAUUGCUGGAACGCGCCCCAGGCGCACCCAGAAACCCUUUGUGAACUUAUACCUUACUGUUGCCUCGGCGCAUGCUGGCCCCCUCGGGGGCCCCUCGGAGACGAGAAGCAGGCACGCCGGCGGCCAAGUUAACUCUUGUUUUUACACUGAAACUCUGAGAAAAAACACAAAUGAAUCAAAACUUUCAACAACGGAUCUCUUGGUUCUGGCAUCGAUGAAGAACGCAGCGAAAUGCGAUAAGUAAUGUGAAUUGCAGAAUUCAGUGAAUCAUCGAAUCUUUGAACGCACAUUGCGCCCUCUGGUAUUCCGGAGGGCAUGCCUGUUCGAGCGUCAUUUCAACCCUCAAGCAUUGCUUGGUGUUGGGGCACUGCUUUUUUAACGAGAAGCAGGCCCUGAAAUCUAGUGGCGAGCUCGCCAGGACCCCGAGCGCAGUAGUUAAACCCUCGCUCUGGAAGGCCCUGGCGGUGCCCUGCCGUUAAACCCCCAACUUUUGAAAAUUUGACCUCGGAUCAGGUAGGAAUACCCGCUGAACUUAAGCAUAUCAA
rnacentral:sRNA from 1 species